AUUUUUGUGUAAUUUUUUAACAAAUUUUGAUUUUUAUGUAUUUUAUCUCGUAGGAAACUUAACUUCUCCUCAGUGCGUUUGGUAAGUGAUUCACCUUUUUCCUACUUAUUAUUUGGUUUUAGGGAUGCAUCUCUACAUUUUUAUCUACUUUUACUACUGAGAUGAAACCCUAACGAUUUCAUUUUAAUGUCAGUUAUGGUGCUUUGUUGGGGCUUUCCCGGCUAAAAGAGUAUAAAUUUCCCAGAAACUCGACGAACUCAGAGAAAGCAGUUGCAGCAAUUGUGACUUCUAUUUUUUUCUCUCUUGAAAAUGGUAUGAACUAUGAUCACUCCGUCUCCAUCAAAUCUUACAAAAGUUUUCAGCUUUUUUCAAUUUUAAUUUCUGGGUUACUAUUCUUUGAUAACUUCCUCAUCUGGGCAAUCUCCAAUUUUCGUUUGUAUUGUCAUCUAGGAGGAGUUCUUAAAUGCUAAUUCAUCAAUGUUAGUAGAUUGUUAAGUAUUAACUUGAUGUUUAAGCAUGGACAUAUGUGAAUUUCCAGGUUUACAGUUUUGUAGAUUUCAUUUUGCUGUCAGUUAUGGUGCUUUGUUGGGGCUUUCCCGGCUAAAAGAGUACUUUGUGUUUUGGUUGCUUAAUCAAUAAAUCUGAGAUUUGCUAGCACCUAUGAUGCUGCUGGUUAUACUUCGGGUACGUUUUCUGUCCUCCUGUUUUUUUCCAGUUUGCAAAUGUAUUGAUAAGUGUUGGAUUAAAAUGGAUUUGUAUUUUUUUGAGAAGAAAUGGGAAGAAGAAGAAGAAAUUGAAAGGGUAAAGCUUCAUACUUUGGUGUAUAAUUAGUUGAAGAAAGAGAAAAUUACUUGGUAAAGAUUUGAGCUUUAGCUAUUCCAUGUAGAUUCAGCUUUCCUUUGCAUUUGAAUAAGUUGGAAACUGAGUGGAAAAUGUUAAGAGAGAGAGAGAGAGAGAAAGAGAAUUGUGUUGGGGUUUUGGUGAAGAUUUGAACUUUGGUGGUAAGCUAGUUGCUUUAAACUCGCACAGGAAAACCCAACAGCAUGUAGAUAAGUAGACUGAAUUGGCCUUUUGAAUAAGUUUGAAAUGAGUUGGAAACUAAGUAGAAAAAUGUUAGAUAGAGAACAGAGAAUGUGAUUUGAUAAUUGGUAAUAUGAUCAAUCCUUGGUGACAUAUAUAUUAUAUCAAAUUAUAUUAGAAUUUUUUUAUUAAAUUAGAUUAAAAUUUGUUCAUAUAAAUUAAAACAGUUUAUACAUAUUGGAAAUAGGCAUUAAAAAGUUUAAGUUUGACAUUACAUGGAUUAGAAUGACUUUUCUAGAUGCUUAAAUGCUUUUUGUUGAAGAGUGUUUUGUGUUUCUACUGCUGAUACCUUAAUAUAUAUUAUGAUGAUGAUGUGUACAUCUUCCAUCCUCUUCAGUUCAAUACUCUGCCAGUUGUGAAAACAGCAACCGAGCCACUAAAUCCAUGUAUGCUGACAAAGAUGGUGGAAGGACUAAGAAAGAUAAGUAAGAGUUAUACUCUUGCAAUCACUAAAGUUGAGGAGUCUGGAAAGCACACGAUAUUAGGGACAUGAGAACUCUACUUGGAUUCAAUAAUGAAGGACCUAAGAGAGCUUUAUUUGGAAGUAGAAGUCAAGAUUGGACCAUCUUUGACUCGAGGAUCAAAUUAUUUGUGAAGGUUCUGGUUCACUGCAAUAGGAAUAAGGCAGAAGCUAGUUGAGAGAAUUUUCGGCAUAUUUGUAUAAGAUUUGUGAAGUAAGAUUCUUCCCCUUUUUUCUGCUUCAAAGUUUGAAUUUUGUGAGAGGUUCAAAUAUUGCACAUGUUAUCUUAAUUCAUUCGUUUCUGGAGUAGCAAAGGUUUGGUGAAGUGCAAGGCUUGUUGGGGAAGAUGCAUCUGUCCAAAAAUGUUUGUUUUCAAGUCUUUUUGUAUUAGAGAUAAAAUAUGUAACAUUAUAAUAUAUGUUUGUGAGAUUGGGAAAGUGAAAGUUGGUUUCAUGGUUGUAGGCUGUUUUCAUUUUAUGAAAAUUUAAA